AAAUUGAAGAGUUUGAUCAUGGCUCAGAUUGAACGCUGGCGGCAGGCCUAACACAUGCAAGUCGAACGGUAACAGGAAGCAGCUUGCUGCUUCGCUGACGAGUGGCGGACGGGUGAGUAAUGUCUGGGAAACUGCCUGAUGGAGGGGGAUAACUACUGGAAACGGUGGCUAAUACCGCAUAACGUCGCAAGACCAAAGAGGGGGACCUUCGGGCCUCUUGCCAUCAGAUGUGCCCAGAUGGGAUUAGCUUGUUGGUGAGGUAACGGCUCACCAAGGCGACGAUCCCUAGCUGGUCUGAGAGGAUGACCAGCCACACUGGAACUGAGACACGGUCCAGACUCCUACGGGAGGCAGCAGUGGGGAAUAUUGCACAAUGGGCGCAAGCCUGAUGCAGCCAUGCCGCGUGUAUGAAGAAGGCCUUCGGGUUGUAAAGUACUUUCAGCGGGGAGGAAGGUGUUGCGGUUAAUAACCGCAGCAAUUGACGUUACCCGCAGAAGAAGCACCGGCUAACUCCGUGCCAGCAGCCGCGGUAAUACGGAGGGUGCAAGCGUUAAUCGGAAUUACUGGGCGUAAAGCGCACGCAGGCGGUCUGUCAAGUCGGAUGUGAAAUCCCCGGGCUCAACCUGGGAACUGCAUUCGAAACUGGCAGGCUUGAGUCUUGUAGAGGGGGGGUAGAAUUCCAGGUGUAGCGGUGAAAUGCGUAGAGAUCUGGAGGAAUACCGGUGGCGAAGGCGGCCCCCUGGACAAAGACUGACGCUCAGGUGCGAAAGCGUGGGGAGCAAACAGGAUUAGAUACCCUGGUAGUCCACGCCGUAAACGAUGUCUACUUGGAGGUUGUGCCCUUGAGGUGUGGCUUCCGGAGCUAACGCGUUAAGUAGACCGCCUGGGGAGUACGGCCGCAAGGUUAAAACUCAAAUGAAUUGACGGGGGCCCGCACAAGCGGUGGAGCAUGUGGUUUAAUUCGAUGCAACGCGAAGAACCUUACCUGGUCUUGACAUCCACAGAAGAAUCCAGAGAUGGAUUUGUGCCUUCGGGAACUGUGAGACAGGUGCUGCAUGGCUGUCGUCAGCUCGUGUUGUGAAAUGUUGGGUUAAGUCCCGCAACGAGCGCAACCCUUAUCCUUUGUUGCCAGCGGUCCGGCCGGGAACUCAAAGGAGACUGCCAGUGAUAAACUGGAGGAAGGUGGGGAUGACGUCAAGUCAUCAUGGCCCUUACGACCAGGGCUACACACGUGCUACAAUGGCGCAUACAAAGAGAAGCGACCUCGCGAGAGCAAGCGGACCUCAUAAAGUGCGUCGUAGUCCGGAUUGGAGUAUGCAACUCGACUCCAUGAAGUCGGAAUCGCUAGUAAUCGUGGAUCAGAAUGCCACGGUGAAUACGUUCCCGGGCCUUGUACACACCGCCCGUCACACCAUGGGAGUGGGUUGCAAAAGAAGUAGGUAGCUUAACCUUCGGGAGGGCGCUUACCACUUUGUGAUUCAUGACUGGGGUGAAGUCGUAACAAGGUAACCGUAGGGGAACCUGCGGUUGGAUCACCUCCUUA
rnacentral:rRNA from 1 species